rnacentral:rRNA from 1 species
GACGAACGCUGGCGGCGUGCUUAACACAUGCAAGUCGAACGGAAAAGCCCGGCUCUUGUUGGGUGCUCGACUGUGGCACACGGGUGUAAAACGCGUGUGCACUCUCCCUCACACUCUGGUAUCAUCGUGAGAAACGGCGUCUUAUCCCGUAUACGCCCCUGGUGCGCAGCCUGUCUGGGUGGGUAGCACCUGGUGGGGAGGUGCUCGCGGCUUCUCAGCUUGUUGGUGUGGUAGUGGCUUACCAAGGCUUUGACGGGUAGCCGGCCUGAGAGGGUGACCGGCCACACUGGGACUGAGACACGGCCCAGACUCCUACGGGAGGCAGCAGUGGGGAAUAUUGCACAAUGGGCGGAAGCCUGAUGCAGCAACGCCGCGUGAGGGACGACGGCCUUCGGGUUGUAAACCGCUUUUGGCUGGGAAGAAGCGAAAGUGACGGUACUGGGAGAAGAAGCACCGGCUAACUACGUG